UACGUAGGGGGCUAGCGUUGUCCGGAAUCAUUGGGCGUAAAGCGCGCGUAGGCGGCCCGGUAAGUCCGCUGUGAAAGUCAAAGGCUCAACCUUUGAAUGUCAGCGGAUACUGCCGGGCUAGAGUCCGGAAGAGGCGAGUGGAACUCCUGGUGUAGCGGUGGAAUGCGUAGAGAUCGGGAAGAACAUCAGUGGCGAAGGCGGCCUGCUGGGCUGUUGCUGACGCUGAGGCGCGACAGCGUGGGGAGCAAACAGG
rnacentral:rRNA from 1 species